rnacentral:lncRNA from 1 species
UUUUUUUUUUUUUUUUUUUUUUAGAUUUUUAUUUAUUUAUUCACGAGAGACACACAGAGAGAAAGAGAGGCAGAGACACAGGCAGAGGGAGAAGCAGGCUCCAUGCAGGAAGCCUGACGUGGGACUUGAUCCCCGGUCUCCAGGAUCACACCCUAGGCUGAAGGCAGCACCAAACUGCUGAGCCACCGGGGCUGCCCUCAUCUUCCCUUUCUGAGGCUUAGUUUACUCAUCUGUUAAAUGGGAUCAGUAACAACCUUCCUUGUAAGGUCAUGAUGAGACUCCCAGAAUAGUCCUGGGAAGAGUUCAGCAUGGUCCCCAGCAUAGGAUAUCGUUUUUGUUUGUUUGUUUGUUUGUUUGUUUGUUUGUUUAUGAGAGCUCUCAGCCCAAUGUAAGGCUCAAACUCAGGACCUCAAGACCAAGAGUCACAGGCUCUACUGACUGAGCCAGCCAGGCGCACCAAAGUAAUUCUUAUUCGUAGCUACUGUAUCAACUAUUUUGUUCUUUUUUUUUUAAAAGAUUUUAUUUAUAUAUUCAUGAGAGACACAGAGAGAGAGGCAGAGAUAUAGGCAGAGGGAGAAGCAGUCUCUCUGAGGGGAGCCUGAUGCGGGACUCGAUCCCAGAACCUCAGGAUCACACUCUGAGCCAAAGGCAGAUGCUCAACCACUGAGCCACCCAGAUGCCCCCAACUUUUUUGUUCUAAUUCAGUUCUUGUUUUAGACUCUGGGUUGAGAAGGCAAGAGAGGAGAUACAGAUUGAACUUUAACAGAUGUUGGUCUACUCCAAUCUGGCCUCAGAUCCUGUACCACAUCACUCAGAAUUACCUUCAUCUUUGCAUGACCUCAGUUAUCAGGGGGAAAGGGGAGCAUCCAUGCACAAGAGAAAACAUGAAUCCAGGACCGGUUGGAGAACACAGUAAAAUAUUCUCUGCAAAUUGCAGCAAGUGCUUCUGCAGAAGACAGGCUCAGAUGGUCCCACUUCUGACUCAGGUGCUGGCAAGGGGCAGCAGGACCAAUCCUAGGCUGAGGCCCACCAUUCCCUGCCUGCCUUCACCCACUGGGUGGGCACAGCUGGAGGGCAGGGGACUUGCUGGGAGGGGGUGCUGUUGUGAUUUGUAAUAAAUACUUGUAAUAAAUAUAUUUUCCUCUUAGACCCUAUUCCAGACAUAGAGCUCAUAGAGCUCUAAACCCAUGGAAUUUCCCGAGAUAAGAGUGAUAAAGGUGUCUUUGUUAUGUUAAUAAGAUAUCUACUGGAAAAAAAAAAAAAGAGGUCUACUGGAAAGCCAUUAGGUAACCCAACCAAAGGGGCUGGUUGCCAGGAGAACCAACCAGGUGAUCAGAGAGUUGGAGCUCUCAGUGUCUCUGCUCUCCCUCCAGGGAGGGGAGAGGGGCUGGAGUUUGAAUCAAUCGCUGAUGGCCAACAAUUUAAUCAAUCAUGGCUAUGUAAUGAAGCUUUCACAAAGUUCCCAAGAGGACCGGGUUCAGAGGGUUUCCCAGGGGGUCGAAAUGGGUUGAUUGGUACACCUGGAGAGAGCAUGGAGGCUCCCAGCCCUGCCUCCACACCUGGAGCGUGUGCUUGUGUGUGUGUGUGUGUGUGUGUGUGUGUGUGUAAGGGGGAAUCUUGUGGAACAUCCUGGUGUUGUCUGAGAAUUGCUUGGUGUUGUGUAGGAAGCACCUUGCCACGCACCCCCCCCUCCCCCGCCAAUACACCAGAGUUGGGUCCAGGAACCCAAAAAACCAAGUCUACGGUGGAAAGGGUGGCAUCGAAAGCUGGCCAUGCAGGCCUUAUCAGAAACUUUCCUGAGGCUCCCCACAGGAAACCUGCUUCUCCCUCUGCCUGUGUCUCUGCCUCUCUCUCUCUCUCUCUCUCUCUGUGUGUGUGUCUCUCAUGAAUAAAUAAGUAAAAUCUUAAAAAAAAAAAAAACACUUUCCUGAGGUCCAGUCCACGUGGACAAACUUUCUUGCUCAUGUGAAAGCACUGUGAGAGCCACCAUCCAGCCUGAGGAACUGUGUCAAGCUGUGAACUGGCUUUCAAGUCUAGUCACCUCUGCAGAGUUCACUGAGGUGACACCUGCUGCCAUGGGGUCAAAGUUCAAAUGUCACUUUGAAGUGGUUGACAUUCAGUAAUUGUAGAAGGAGGUAGGAAGAUGAGAUACUCAGGGCCCUGAAGCUCCCCUCCGCUCCCCGGGGGUAGCAAUACCUAGUCGCCAUUCCAAAUUCCCGGGAAGGCCUCUCUCCACCUUAAGCUAAUCUCCCACCCAGGCGCAUUGCAUCCUCCUUGCUGGUUCCAUCUGACCAGGAGUGACUGGGGCUGAGUCCCUGGCCCUUCAGCUCACCAGCUGCAUGUCCCGCCUUAGGGCAGAUAAGUGCCCUGCCCGCUUUCUCAUCUGUUAAAUGGGAAAUGUCCUAGGGUUGGCAUGUUUCCGCUGGUGACAGGCCUGGCAUGGAGUCAGCCUACUUCUUUUCCCUCUCCAGAUCGCCGGCCUGGCCUGACCCUGGCCUGCUUCCCACACCCCACCCACCCUGGUCCCCUGCGUCCUCCUCUGCCGGCUGGACCCUGCCCCUCCUCUUGGCCUCCCGCCCUGCCUGUGACCUGGCACCAGUACCAAUGUUGCAGAUUGCUGAGAUCAGGAACAGGUCGCUCUUGUCACUCAUUCCAGGAGAGUCCUAUGUCCUGAUGAUCAGCUGCAUGGGAAGAAGGGUGUGGCGUCACCAGACUUCAGAGUCUAUCCCAGGGCAGGGGGCGGAGAGGGGGUGUCCCUCUGCACAUUUGCCCAGGGGACACAUCUCCCAACACCCCGACUGAGAGGCCUAGAGCUGCUUUCUGGAGGGUCUGCAGUCAGAGUGGCCAAGAUCUUGAGAGGAGGGCAGUGGGGUCAUCCUUUUAUUUGUGGGAAAGCAGAAGGAGCUUAGGCUGUGCUGCCAAAAUUAAAAGCCCAUGAAUUUUCUAUCAGGCACCAGCCACUCCAGAUGCACAGACAUACCCCAAAGAUUUGUAGAGAGGAAAUGUUUACAAAGCCUUGUGUGGGUCCUGACCCUUGAUUCUUAGUCCAGUGGGGUUUGGACGUUCAUCCAGGAGGGGCACGGAUUUCACAUACGUAUGAGGCUUUAGGCCCCUAGGCUGUGCCUCAUCUGUUCCCUUUUGGGGAUGACUUUUCCCCAGGGGGUUUGGUAUCAGGGAGAGAAUGAUCUUAUGCGCCACCCUCCACCGGGGAAGUCUGGGCAGCAGAACCUUGCUCUCCUCGCCCUGGGCUGGUCACAGAAGGGGAUGUGACCUAAUCCUGGUUUGAAGGCCCUCCUCAGGGGUGGCAUCUACAAUGAGUAAAGCAGGAAGAAGGGUCGGCGGAUCCAGCUGACACAUGGGACAGACGGCCCCCUCCGCCAAGCCAGGCUGUACUUCCUGCUUUCCCAGCACCCCUGGAGCAGUCCUGGCCCCCCACAGCCCCUGACUCCUGAGCCCCUCGUCGUCCCCAUCCACUGCAUUCUUUCAUUUGAGCUAGCUCGAGUCUCUUUCUUGCCAUGAUGAAGUCCUGAUACCACCAGGGUGGACGCUGCCUAGCUUCCGGUGAGCUACCUUAAAACUCCAAGGAGUCCCUGAUGGCAGCCAGGGUGUUUGUGUCAGUGGAGAAAGGGACGAGGGGCUCUGGACUGAAAGCAAGCCAAACGGCGUGCUCCUUCUGGAGCGGGGAGUCACUGCUAGUGCCUGUAAGUGUCUCUUUUGGGCAAGGCUCUGUGUGCGCGCGCGUGUGUGUGUGUGUGUGUGUGUGUGUGUAAGAGUGUUUCUUUCUUACUAGUCAAUUAAUAGGCUGUGGUUUCUUUUGUUGUUGUUGCUCCUCUGAAAGGGUGAAUAUUUGAUGCCUGGAGGAUACUGCUCCUGAGAGACACCUGCUGCUCCAAAGCGCCCCGUGGCCAGCAGCUCUGGAUUGGCCGCAAAGGACGUGGCCUUUCUGUUUUGCCUGAGGAAUGUCUCCAGCUGCCAUCCUGUUGGCACCCCAAGGCUCACCGUCACCCUCGUCGUAGGGAUCGCAGGGGCGCCUCCACGGCCGAGGAGAGGGCCCCCCACUCGGGAACACCGUGUCCCACAAGGUGAGGAAUGAGGCUCCGGGACAGUCAGUGGCCUGCAGAGCCCGGUGGUUCAUCCUAUUAUGUUCCUGAUGAUCUGUGAUGAGAUUAUAACCCACAUAUGUUUCUCUCCAUCUUUUUUUUUUUUUUUUAAGAUUUUAUUUAUUUAUUCAUGAGAGACACACAGAGAGAGGCAGAGACAUAGGCAGAGGGAGAAGCAGGCCCCCUGGGGGAGCCCUAUGUGGGGGGGGGGGACUCGAUCCCAGGACCCUGAGAUCAUGCCCUGAGGCGAAGGUAGCUUCACUGAGCCCCGAGUGCCCCUCUAUCGUUCUUAUUUAAAAAAAAAAAAAAAAAAA